rnacentral:rRNA from 1 species
GAUGAACGCUGGCGGCGUGCCUAAUACAUGCAAGUCGAGCGAACAGAUGAGGAGCUUGCUCCUCUGACGUUAGCGGCGGACGGGUGAGUAACACGUGGAUAACCUACCUAUAAGACUGGGAUAACUUCGGGAAACCGGAGCUAAUACCGGAUAAUAUAUUGAACCGCAUGGUUCAAUAGUGAAAGACGGCUUUGCUGUCACUUAUAGAUGGAUCCGCGCCGCAUUAGCUAGUUGGUAAGGUAACGGCUUACCAAGGCAACGAUGCGUAGCCGACCUGAGAGGGUGAUCGGCCACCCUGGAACUGAGACACGGUCCAGACUCCUACGGGAGGCAGCAGUAGGGAAUCUUCCGCAAUGGGCGAAAGCCUGACGGAGCAACGCCGCGUGAGUGAUGAAGGUCUUCGGAUCGUAAAACUCUGUUAUUAGGGAAGAACAAAUGUGUAAGUAACUAUGCACGUCUUGACGGUACCUAAUCAGAAAGCCACGGCUAACUACGUG